CCUACGGGUGGCAGCAGUGGGGAAUAUUGGGCAAUGGGCGAAAGCCUGACCGAGCAACGCCGCGUGAAGGAAGAAGGCUUUCGGGUUGUAAAACUCUUUUAAGAGGGAAGAGCAGAAGACGGUACCUCUUGAAUAAGCCACGGCUAACUACGUGACAGCAGCCGCGGUAAUACGUAGGUGGCAAGCGGUGUCCGGAUUUACUGGGUGUAAAGGGCGUGCAGCCGGGAAGACAAGUCAGAUGUGAACGCCCGCGGCUCAACCGGGGAAAGGCAUUUGAAACUGUUUUUCUUGAGUACCGGAGAGGUGAUCGGAAUUCCUUGUGUAGCGGUGAAAUGCGUAGAUAUAAGGAAGAACACCAGUGGCGAAGGCGGAUGACUGGUCGGCAACUGACGGUGAGGCGCGAAAGCGUGGGGAGCAAACAGGAUUAGAUACCCGAGUAGUC
rnacentral:rRNA from 1 species